GAUGAACGCUGGCGGCGUGCUUAACACAUGCAAGUCGAACGGGAAACCUAUUAUUGAAACUUCGGUCGAUUUAAUUUGUUUCUAGUGGCGGACGGGUGAGUAACGCGUGGGUAACCUGCCCUAUACAGGGGGAUAACAACCAGAAAUGGUUGCUAAUACCGCAUAAGCGCACGGGACCGCAUGGUCCAGUGUGAAAACCUCCGGUGGUAUAGGAUGGACCCGCGUUGGAGUAGCUAGUUGGUGGGGUAACGGCCACCCAAGGCAACGAGCCAUAGCCGGCCUGAGAGGGUGAACGGCCACAUUGGGACUGAGACACGGCCCAGACUCCUACGGGAGGCAGCAGUGGGGAAUAUUGCACAAUGGGGGAAACCCUGAUGCAGCGACGCCGCGUGAAGGAAGAAGUAUCUCGGUAUGUAAACUUCUAUCAGCAGGGAAGAUAGUGACGGUACCUGACUAAGAAGCCCCGGCUAACUACGUGCCAGCCGCCGCGGUAA
rnacentral:rRNA from 1 species